GGCUCGUUGGUGUAGUUGGUUAUCACGUCAGUCUAACAAAGGUCCUCAAAAGCCUUGUCAGUACACUGAAGGUCCGGAGUUCAAACCUCCGAUGAGUCA
rnacentral:tRNA from 1 species